rnacentral:rRNA from 1 species
CGGACGGGUGAGUAACACGUGGAUAACCUACCUAUAAGACUGGGAUAACUUCGGGAAACCGGAGCUAAUACCGGAUAAUAUUUUGAACCGCAUGGUUCAAAAGUGAAAGACGGUCUUGCUGUCACUUAUAGAUGGAUCCGCGCUGCAUUAGCUAGUUGGUAAGGUAACGGCUUACCAAGGCAACGAUGCAUAGCCGACCUGAGGGGGUGAUCGGCCACACUGGAACUGAGACACGGUCCAG